AUGUUCCUGUGUUACCAUGAAAUGUUUAGAGGUUGGGAUUUUAUUUCCAUGGUGAUCAUGAUGAAAUUGCAGCAAACACAGAAUGCCUAAGUUUUAAAAGAACAACACAACAAGACAGAUAUAAGAUAAAAAGGAGCAAGCAGAUUUUGUCAUGAGGGAAGUGGUGCCGGUGGUGUGCGUGAUUGGUGUGGUUUUGUUGAAGAUGCUUCUGCACUUCCGAUUGAUGAAUCAGAGAGUGAAGAGGAAAAUGACGAAAGAUGUUUCUUAACAGAAGAGGAGUGAAAAUGAAUCACAGGCUGUUAUUCAGUCAACACUGCAUAAUAAAUUUCAAAAUUUUUAAGGCCUAAAAAUUAUUAUUUUACAUUCUAUUCUCUAUACACACAUUUUCCAGUACAUAUAUUAUGAUAAUAUGAAGGAUCAGCCUCUCUGUUCUUUUUAUGAUUCACAUGUAUCUAAAAUGUAUUGGUCUGUUAAUGAAAGUUUUAUUUAAUCAGUGCUUAAUUUGAAUUAUAUACAGUAACACAGUAACUCCAGAUAUUAAAUACACUGUAUUUAUCUGUACACUUACCUGUUUUAAAAAUGAUUUUUCCUGAAAUCUAAUCAAUGUAUACAAGAUAUUUUGUUUAGGCUUUACAUGUGAAGAUGGAUAUUCAAUUGUAAUGUUCACCAUGUAUUGGGUAGUGUUAUCAUAUACAUGUGGCUGGUAAAAAAUAAAAGAAAUAAGUGAA